rnacentral:rRNA from 1 species
UACGAAGGGGGCUAGCGUUGCUCGGAUUGACUGGGCGUAAAGGGCGCGUAGGCGGCGGACACAGUCAGACGUGAAAUUCCUGGGCUCAACCUGGGGGCUGCGUUUGAUACAUGUUCGCUUGAGUUCGGAAGAGGGUCGUGGAAUUCCCAGUGUAGAGGUGAAAUUCGUAGAUAUUGGGAAGAACACCAGUGGCGAAGGCGGCUCACUGGCCCGGUACUGACGCUGAGGUGCGAAGGCGUGGGGAGCAAACAGG